rnacentral:rRNA from 1 species
AGCGAACGCUGGCGGCAGGCUUAACACAUGCAAGUCGAGCGGGCAUAGCAAUAUGUCAGCGGCAGACGGGUGAGUAACGCGUGGGAACGUACCUUUUGGUUCGGAACAACACAGGGAAACUUGUGCUAAUACCGGAUAAGCCCUUACGGGGAAAGAUUUAUCGCCGAAAGAUCGGCCCGCGUCUGAUUAGCUAGUUGGUGAGGUAAUGGCUCACCAAGGCGACGAUCAGUAGCUGGUCUGAGAGGAUGAUCAGCCACAUUGGGACUGAGAAACGGCCCAAACUCCUACGGGAGGCAGCAGUGGGGAAUAUUGGACAAUGGGCGCAAGCCUGAUCCAGCCAUGCCGCGUGAGUGAUGAAGGCCCUAGGGUUGUAAAGCUCUUUCACCGAUGAAGAUAAUGACGGUAGUCGGAGAAGAAGCCCCGGCUAACUUCGUGCCAGCCGCCGCGGUAA